rnacentral:sRNA from 24 species
GGAACCCGGUGGGAAUCCGGGGCGGUUCCGCCACUGUGUAGGUUGCCUGACCGGAAUGACGGGUGACCUGAAGCCAGAUAC